rnacentral:rRNA from 1 species
UACAGAGGUCCCAAGCGUUGUUCGGAUUCACUGGGCGUAAAGGGUGCGUAGGUGGUUGGGUAAGUCCGAUGUGAAAUCUCCAGGCUCAACCUGGAAAUGGCAUUGGAUACUAUUCGGCUUGAGGAGUGGAGGGGGGACUGGAAUUCUCGGUGUAGCAGUGAAAUGCGUAGAUAUCGAGAGGAACACCAGUGGCGAAGGCGAGUCCCUGGACACUUCCUGACACUGAGGCACGAAAGCUAGGGGAGCAAACAGG